rnacentral:rRNA from 1 species
AUCUAUCACUAUACCACACCAGAUACACCAGAUCUCAUCUGAUAUGGGAAUUAAGCAAGGUCUGGCCUGGUUAGCAUUUGGGUGGAAAGAAAGAAGGAAGAAGGAGGGAUU